AGAGAACAGCAGGCUAGUCUACAUUUAUUCAUCAGCUAUCUUGGGACUGACCUCAAAUGUUUUUGGUUUGUUUAUUUGUUUAUUCUCUUAUGUAAAUGUCUACUGUACAAUAAUAAUAAACAUCCUAUCACAAAUAACUCUUAAAACCGCUUCCUCAGUCCCAAGUAGAAGUAGCACUAUCAGGGGCUGUGAUAGGAUGGAUGGGCUGUGUAGGAGUGUUCCAGCAGGUUCUGAAGGGGCUGUGAUAGGAUGGAUGGGCUAUGUGGGAGUGUUCCAGUAGGUUCUGAAGGGGCUGUGAUAGGAUGGAUGGGCUGUGUGGGAGUGUUCCAGUAGGUUCUGAAGGGGCUGUGAUAGGAUGGAUGGGCUGUGUGGGAGUGUUCCAGUGGGUUCUGAAGAGGGAUGGGCUGUGUGAGAGUGUUCCAGUAGGUUCUGAAAAGGGAUGGGCUGUGUGAGAGUGUUCCAGUAGGUUCUGAAGGGGUUGUGAUAGGAUGGAUAGGCUGUGUGGGAAUGUUCCAGCAGGUUCUGAAGGGGUCGUGAUAGGAUGGAUAGGAUGGAUGGGCUGUGUGGGAGUGUUCCAGUAGGUUCUGAAGGGGUUGUGAUAGGAUGGAUGGGCUGUGUGGGAGUGUUCCAGCAGGUUCUGAAGGGGUUGUGAUAGGAUGGAUGGGCUGUGUGGGAGUGUUCCAGUGGGUUCUGAAGAGGGAUGGGCUGUGUGAGAGUGUUCCAGUAGGUUCUGAAGGGGUUAUGAUAGGAUGGAUGGGCUGUGUGGGAGUGUUCCAGUCAGUUCUGAAGGGGCUGUGAUAGGAUGGACAGGACAUCUGUGAGACAGAUGUGUUGACUGACCUAUAGGGAUGAAGAGAGGGAGGAGAUCUGUACUACAUGGACUAGGGGUGCCAUCCAGAGCCACUGAGAACGUUUUA